UACGAAGGGGACUAGCGUUGUUCGGAAUCACUGGGCGUAAAGCGCACGUAGGCGGCAUUGCAAGUCGGAUGUGAAAUCCCUCGGCUUAACCAAGGAAGUGCAUCCGAAACUGCAGUGCUUGAGUACUUAAGAGGAUCGCGGAAUUCCCGGUGUAGAGGUGAAAUUCGUAGAUAUCGGGAGGAACACCAGUGGCGAAGGCGGCGAUCUGGGAAGAUACUGACGCUGAGGUGCGAAAGCGUGGGGAGCAAACAGG
rnacentral:rRNA from 1 species